AGAUCCACGCUACCUGAAAGAAGGCCGCCUUCUGAAUCCAACGAUACCAGUUAUGUGCACAUCGGACCUACGCUUCAAAAGAUACGGACAGAUCCACGCUACCUGAAAGAAGGCCGCCUUCUGAAUCCAACGAUACCAGUUAUGUGCACAUCGGACCUACGCUUCAAAAGAUACGGACAGAUCCACGCUACCUGAAAGAAGGCCGCCUUCUGAAUCCAACGAUACCAGUUAUGUGCACAUCGGACCUACGCUUCAAAAGAUACGGACAGAUCCACGCUACCUGAAAGAAGGCCGCCUUCUGAAUCCAACGAUACCAGUUAUGUGCACAUCGGACCUACGCUUCAAAAGAUACGGACAGAUCCACGCUACCUGAAAGAAGGCCGCCUUCUGAAUCCAACGAUACCAGUUAUGUGCACAUCGGACCUACGCUUCAAAAGAUACGGACAGAUCCACGCUACCUGAAAGAAGGCCGCCUUCUGAAUCCAACGAUACCAGUUAUGUGCACAUCGGACCUACGCUUCAAAAGAUACGGACAGAUCCACGCUACCUGAAAGAAGGCCGCCUUCUGAAUCCAACGAUACCAGUUAUGUGCACAUCGGACCUACGCUUCAAAAGAUACGGACAGAUCCACGCUACCUGAAAGAAGGCCGCCUUCUGAAUCCAACGAUACCAGUUAUGUGCACAUCGGACCUACGCUUCAAAAGAUACGGACAGAUCCACGCUACCUGAAGAAGGCCGCCUUCUGAAUCCAACGAUACCAGUUAUGUGCACAUCGGACCUACGCUUCAAAAGAUACGGACAGCUCACUGGCUCUGCUUCGGUGACAUCACUGAAGGUGAGACUGCUCCCCCCCCCCACUGUUACUGUAUCAACUGAGUGGAGGUGACAGUGAAAUCAAAGCUGUCCUUUGGGAUUUUUCAUCAAAGUUUCACAUCUGACCCGGACCCUCACUUACUUCGAGUCCUUUUGCAAUGGCUGAACAAGCUGAGAGGAGAAAAGCUGACCGGCGCUUCACUGCUUGGUUUGGCACAGACCGCAGGAGAACCUACCUGUCCACCUGGCGAGAAACAGCACGCCGGAACAAAUAGCCUCAGAGGUUCAAAAGACGGAGUCCAGCAAGCACUGGAUGCUUAGAGCUAGGACGUGGGACCACAGCCACAUUUGUGCCCUCCAUUUGUGCAGAACCUCGCAGGAGAA